UACAGAGGUCUCAAGCGUUGUUCGGAUUCAUUGGGCGUAAAGGGCUCGUAGGUGGCCAACUAAGUCAGACGUGAAAUCCCUCGGCUUAACCGGGGAACUGCGUCUGAUACUGGAUGGCUUGAGUUUGGGAGAGGGAUGCGGAAUUCCAGGUGUAGCGGUGAAAUGCGUAGAUAUCUGGAGGAACACCGGUGGCGAAGGCGGCAUCCUGGACCAACACUGACGCUGAGUGAGCGAAAGCCAGGGGAGCAAACGGG
rnacentral:rRNA from 1 species